rnacentral:rRNA from 1 species
GAGUUUGAUCUUGGCUCAGAUUGAACGCUGGCGGCAUGCCUUACACAUGCAAGUCGAACGGCAGCACGGGAGCUUGCUCCUGGUGGCGAGUGGCGAACGGGUGAGUAAUGCAUCGGAACGUAUCCUGGAGUGGGGGAUAACGUAGCGAAAGUUACGCUAAUACCGCAUAUUCUGUGAGCAGGAAAGCGGGGGGACCUUCGGGCCUCGCGCUCUUGGAGCGGCCGAUGUCGGAUUAGCUAGUUGGUGAGGUAAAGGCUCACCAAGGCGACGAUCCGUAGCAGGUCUGAGAGGAUGAUCUGCCACGCUGGAACUGAGACACGGUCCAGACUCCUACGGGAGGCAGCAGUGGGAAUUUUGGACAAUGGGGGCAACCCGUGAUCCAGCCAUGCCGCGUGAGUGAAGAAGGCCUGGUU